rnacentral:tRNA from 1 species
ACUCAAAUAGCUUAAUUUUAGAGUAUAACAUUGAAGAUGUUAGGGUAGGUAUAUACUUUUGAGUA